AAGUUGUUAGAUUAAUGGUAGAUCAUGGUUUUUACACGACUAAUAUAACAGUUCAAUUCUGUUACAACUUA
rnacentral:tRNA from 1 species